rnacentral:rRNA from 1 species
AAUAGAUACCCGGGUAGUCCACGCCGUAAACGAUGAGUACUAGUUGUCGGGGGUAUCGACCCCCUCGGUAACGAAGCUAACGCGAUAAGUACUCCGCCUGGGGACUACGGCCGCAAGGCUAAAACUCAAAGGAAUUGACGGGGACCCGCACAAGCGGUGGAUUAUGUGGAUCAAUUCGAUGCAACGCGAAAAACCUUACCUACCCUUGACAUGUACGGAAUUCCGCAGAGAUGUGGAAGUGCCCGAAAGGGAACCGUAACACAGGUGCUGCAUGGCUGUCGUCAGCUCGUGUCGUGAGAUGUUGGGUUAAGUCCCGCAACGAGCGCAACCCUUGCCAUUAGUUGCUACAUUCAGUUGGGCACUCUAAUGGGACCGCCGGUGACAAACCGGAGGAAGGUGGGGAUGACGUCAAGUCCUCAUGGCCCUUAUGGGUAGGGCUUCACACGUAAUACAAUGGUCGGUACAGAGGGCUGCCAACCCGGCAAAGGGGGGAGCUAAUCCCAGAAAGCCGAUCGUAGUCCGGAUUGUAGUCUGCAACUCGACUGCAUGAAGCCGG